UACGCUGUUAUCCHUAAGGUAAUUUAAUCUUUUAAUCUAAAAUAUAGGAUCAAAUAAUUAUAAAUAAAUAUUAAAAUUAAAAAAAAGUUUAUCAAAUUUUUCAAUCACCCCAACUAAAUUAAUUUUUAAAUAAAAAAACUUUAAUACUAAUUAUCUAUAUAUAAAUACUAAUAAAACUCUACAGGGUCUUCUCGUCUUUCAUUAAAAUUUAAGCUUUUUAACUUAAAUAUAAAAUUCUAAUUAAUUUAAACAGAGACAGUUAUUUUCUCAUCAAACCUUUCAUUCUAGCUUUCAAUUAAAAAACUAAUGAUUAUGCUACCUUUGCACGGUCAAAUUACCGCGGCCAUUUAAAUUCUCAUUGGGCAGGUUAGACCUUAAAUUAUAUUCAAAAA
rnacentral:rRNA from 1 species